GCACAUAGCCGCGAUGUAUUAUCAAUGUUAAAUUUCAACCAUAAUAUCGACAACAUUAAUAAACGCAUAUGUUGAGAAAAUAUCGAACCCAGCAUAUUUUCCGGUUAUAUACCACAAUGCAUUGCUAGUAUUCGUUGGUCACCAUUUUGGACACGUUUUUCAAACGUAGAAGUAUAUCCGCAAAUAUCUCAGCAAUCCUCUUUUGACGACUGCGGUGCUGAAGUCCCACCCUACAUCAACA